rnacentral:tRNA from 1 species
GCGGGUGUAAUUCAAUGGUAGAAUGACUGCUUCCCAAGCUGUUCAUGAGGGUUCGAUUCCCUUCAUCCGCUCCA